GGGAGGUGGGCAAGACCGAGGGGGUUUUCCUGAGCUGAGUCCCCUGAAGGAGGAGGGGGCCGGGGAAGUUCCCAAAGCUGCUGACAGCUCCUGGUGUCCCCUGUCGCUGGGGUUUCCCUGGCAGUCCUGUCCAGGUGUUCUGCCUGCAGCAGGUCCCGAAGUGGACUCUGAUCACUCAGGAACUUGGAGAGUCCUGCAACAUGUCCAGAACAUCUCCCAGCGUGUUUCCCACCCCACAUGGAUGGAAUUCUGGCAAGAUGUCAAAAUGCUCCGCUGCCACUCAGAGCGGAGAGCGUUGCCCAGCUCUUCCCCGUACUCGUCUGCCGGGCCUGGAGCGAUUGCAGAGCUUAUUUUCGGCAGCUGAAGCGGCAGCAGGAGCGGGAGGGGAGGGCUGGGCUAUCAGUCACCGGGAGAUGCUGCUCACUCCCACGGAGGUGUUUACAGGAGGGGCGUGAGUGUGAGCUGGAGCCAGCUGCCAUUAGCAUUGCAGAUCGGGCACUUGUUAGCGGAGUGCUGCGCCCCUGCUUUACAAUUUGCUAAUAAUAAAGCAUUUG